AGUGUCACUAGGAGGUGAACUACUGUAACAGUUAAGUGUGUUAUAGUGUCACCAUCCAGGAGGUGAACUACUGAAAAGUUCAGUGUGUUAUAGUGUCACUAGCAUGUGAACUACUGUAACAGUUAAGUGUGUAAUAGUGUCACCAUCCAGGAGGUGAACUACUACAACAGUUCAGUGUGUUAUAGUGUCUCACUCUACAUGGUGAACUACUGUAACAGUACAGUGUGUUAUAGUGUCACUAGGAGGUGAACUACUGUAACAGUUCAGUGUGUUUUAGUGAGUUUGUUAUAGUGUCACUAUCUAGGAGGUGAACUACUGUAACAGUUCAGUGUGUUUUAGUGAGUUUGUUAUAGUGUCACUAUCUAGGAGGUGAACUACUGUAACAGUUCAGUGUGAUAUAGUGUCACUGGGAGGUGAACUACUUUAACAGUUCAGUGUGUUUUAGUGUCACUAGGAGUAGAAAUACUGUAACAGUUCAGUGUGUUAUAGUGUCUCUAGGAGGUGAACUACUGUAACAGUUAUGUGUGUUAUAGUGUCUCAAUGAGGUCAACAACUGUAACAGUUCAGUGUGUUUUUGUGUCACUAGGAGGUGAACUACUGUAACAGUUCAGUGUGUUAUAGUGUCACUAGGAGGUGAACUACUGUAACAGUUCAGUGUGUUUUAGUGUCUCU
rnacentral:lncRNA from 1 species